GAAGAACCUUACCUGGCCUUGACAUCCAGAGAACUUAGCAGAGAUGCUUUGGUGCCUUCGGGAACUNUGAGACAGGUGCUGCAUGGCUGUCGUCAGCUCGUGUUGUGAAAUGUUGGGUUAAGUCCCGCAACGAGCGCAACCCUUAUCCUUUGUUGCCAGCGGUUCGGCCGGGAACUCNAAGGAGACUGCCGGUGAUAAACCCGGAGGAAGGUGGGGAUGACGUCAAGUCAUCAUGGCCCUUACGGCCAGGGCUACACACGUGCUACAAUGGCGCAUACAAAGAGAAGCGACCUCGCGAGAGCAAGCGGACCUCAUAAAGUGCGUCGUAGUCCGGAUUGGAGUCUGCAACUCGACUCCAUGAAGUCGGAANUCGCUAGUAANUCGUAGAUCAAGAAUGACUCANCAGGUGAAGUA
rnacentral:rRNA from 1 species